GUUUAAGUUGUCUUAUAGUUUAUUAGCACAAACCAAAGGCAGCCCAUGUUAUUUCUGGCAAAGAUGCACUUUAUCGUUAUCUGCUCAUGGCUUUGUCGCAACGCUCAGGAAUCAGACACUGCACACUUCAAUAGUUGGGAUUCCAAAAGCUAAUUCUAAAAUUUAAUGAAGGCCUGAUUUAAACUGAUUCAUCUGCAUUUUAUCUUUAUGAGGCCAUAAGAAUCUAAAUUGAUGAGGAAUAUCUUUCAUUCCGUGUAUUUAGAUAUAGUUUUCUGAAUUUCCUGAAGCGAUGUGAUCUGCUUUUAAUAAAAAUUCACUUUUAGGUGUACAACAAAUGGAAAUGAAAUGUUCUUUUUAAAUCUGGAUUCUCAAGUUCUUCUAAAGGAGCUACUCCUCUGAGGAAACCUCAACUCAGUGGACUUGAUUCAUCUGUUACUUUCCAGCAUUCUUACAAAGCUGGUUUCAUCUACAAUGUUGUGCCCUAAGAACAGGACUGGGGUGAAAAGCGGGUACUCAGUUGUUCAUAUAUUUGAGGUCCUAAUUCUUGGUAUUUUUUCCCUUUGAUAAAUCCCUUAAAGUGGCUUAAUGUAGUCUUGCAUAUGAGUUAAUCUAUCAACUUUCCCACAUAGAACUGAUAUAAUUCCUUCUAUCAAUAAUAUUGAUGGGCAUAACAUUUCAAAAAAUGGGACAAAGGUUCAGCUAUCUAGAAAGAUUUGCUAUUUAUAGGAAGAUAAUGGACAUGCCCUGCUGUGAUUUGAGGGUUAUUUAUUUCUGACCCUGUACACAGCCUAGGGGAAGAAUUUAGUCCAGCAAAGAGGGGACCUUGCUUAGAGAGACCCAUUCUGACUCUCCUCCAGCUUUCUCCCAGAUAUCAGGAACCUAGAGUUUCCUACUCAGAUAACCGCCCCCCACACGCACACUUUUAGGCCAAAUGUAGGCCCCCUCUGGGGGUUUAAACUCCUGGAGGCAAGCAACAUCCUGAGUGCAUAUACCUGGGCACAGGGAGUGGCAAAGGGUGCAUCUGUGUGGAUGGAUUAGGCCCUGGGGCCUGGAGUGUUCACUGUGGAAUUUACACACAAGCAAGGAGAAGCCACUUGCCAUGAAAACAAGAGUCCAGGGCUGAAAAAUAAAGGGAUGAGGGGUAGGAAGGAGAUAGACAAGGGCUACCACGAGGCUGGGGGCCAGUACAGAACACUGAACAGUCUAAGAAUUCUAAAUCUAUACCUGGGCUUCCAAGGGUUAUGAAAGCAUCAUGUGUCAAAGUGGCAGGAUGGAAGAUAAUUUAACAGUUUGUUAGCUUUAUGUAUGACUUUUAAAUACUUAGACAUGUGGCAUGGGGUCCUCCAUUGGUACUUUUGCACAAGAUCCUGCAGACAUUUGGGGUCGAUCUGCCUGAGGUGCCCUUGAGUCAGAUCCCUAAGUUGGCACAAACUGCUAACCACAUAACACAAAGAAAGGUCCAGGUUGGAAGAAGGCGUCUGCUCCACAGUUCAGCUGGCCCUGUAGUUAAUGCUCCCCUCACCUUCUCUUGGACCUGUGGUCUGACUGGAGUAUAAGAAAUUUUGGAUGCACUGGGGGAACAACUGUGAGGAAAUCUUGACAUCGAAUAUUUUGUUCCAUCUCCUUCACCCUCUACCAUCAAUAAUCCAGUAUGAUUGGGAUGUAAAGACCCAGCAUUCUGAAAUGGGAUGCUCUGUACUAUAUGGGAAAUGGGUUGUUGUACUUUACCGGUUGUUAAACACUAAAUAAAAUACCUGUUUAACAGA
rnacentral:lncRNA from 1 species